UGGGGAAUAUUGGGCAAUGGGGGAAACCCUGACCCAGCAACGCCGCGUGAAGGAAGAAGGCCUUCGGGUUGUAAACUUCUUUUACCAGGGACGAAUAAAUGACGGUACCUGGAGAAAAAGCAACGGCUAACUACGUGCCAGCAGCCGCGGUAAUACGUAGGUUGCAAGCGUUGUCCGGAUUUACUGGGUGUAAAGGGCGUGUAGGCGGAGAUGCAAGUCAGGAGUGAAAUCCCGGGGCUCAACCCCGGAACUGCUUUUGAAACUGUAUCCCUUGAGUGUCGGAGAGGCAAGCGGAAUUCCUAGUGUAGCGGUGAAAUGCGUAGAUAUUAGGAGGAACACCAGUGGCGAAGGCGGCUUGCUGGACGAUAACUGACGCUGAGGCGCGAAAGCGUGGGGAGCAAACAGGAUUAGAUACCCUGGUAGUCCACGCUGUAAACGAUGAAUACUAGGUGUGGGAGGACUGACCCCUUCCGUGCCGCAGUUAACACAAUAAGUAUUCCACCUGGGGAGUACGACCGCAAGGUUG
rnacentral:rRNA from 1 species